rnacentral:rRNA from 1 species
GGAUUUGUCAGUUGGUCGGGCCUCACGGUCCGCACUGGCUUGAUGGAUUUCUACCUUCUGAAUAACCAGCAUGCUAUUAAGUUAGUGCGUUGGGGAAGCAGAUCUAUUACCUUGAAAAAAUUAGAGUGCUUAAAGCAGGCUAGUGCUUGAAUAGAUUAGCAUGGAAUAAUAAAAUAGGACGGCUUGGUUCUAUUUUGUUGGUUUCUAGGAUCACCGUA